rnacentral:ncRNA from 2 species
AAUAUGGAAUACGGGGGCUUGAGUGAAUCAGGCUGAGACUGCAGAUGUUGAUCCCGCUGCUGACCGUUAAUCUGAACUGGGUAAUGCCAGCGUAGAGAAUAUCCGACCCUGAUAG